rnacentral:rRNA from 1 species
CCUACGGGAGGCAGCAGUGGGGAAUAUUGCGCAAUGGGCGAAAGCCUGACGCAGCGACGCCGCGUGAGGGAUGAAGGUCUUCGGAUCGUAAACCUCUGUCAGCAGGGAAGAACGGUCACUUUGCUAAUCAGCAGUGCAUUGACGGUACCUGCAAAGGCCGCACCGGCUAACUCCGUGCCAGCAGCCGCGUUGAUACGGAUGGUGCGAGCGUUAAUCGGAAUUACUGGGCGUAAAGCCCUCGUAGGCGGUAUGUCAAGUCAAGGGUGAAAUCCCCGCGCUCAACGUGGGAACUGCCGUUGAAACUGGCAAACUGGAGUGUGGGAGAGGAUAGUGGAAUUCCAGGUGUAGGAGUGAAAUCCGUAGAUAUCGGGAGGAACAUCAGUGGCGAAGGCGACUAUCUGGCACAUAACUGACGCUGAGGAGCGAAAGCGUGGGUAGCAAACAGGAUUAGAUACCCUAGUAGUC